rnacentral:rRNA from 1 species
UACGGGGGGGGCAAGCGUUGUUCGGAAUUACUGGGCGUAAAGGGCUCGUAGGCGGCCAACUAAGUCAGACGUGAAAUCCCUCAGCUUAACUGGGGAACUGCGUCUGAUACUGGCGAGCUUGAGUGCAGGAGAGGAACGCGGAAUUCCAGGUGUAGCGGUGAAAUGCGUAGAUAUCUGGAGGAACACCGGUGGCGAAGGCGGCAUCCUGGACCAAUUCUGACGCUGAGGAGCGAAAGCCAGGGGAGCAAACGGG